UGGCGUAGUGGCCACUGCGCUCGCCUUGCACGCGGGAGACCCGGGUUCGAUUCCCGG
rnacentral:tRNA from 1 species